UCGAGCACAGCAGCAACAAAGCAAGGCAGGAUCUGCAGCGACCCUCACUCACAGUCAGCCCGCCGCUCUAAGCCCACCAGAGCCCCUUCCCCUGGCGCGCUGACAGCUCCGCCCGCCGGGCUCGGGCCGUCCUCCGGCGGGGCCGCCGGGCCGCAGGCGCCGUCAGCGGCCGGAGGCUGCCGGGAGCGGAGCGCCGGGCGGGGAGAGCGGCGGGCCCCGAGCUCCCCCUCCCGGAGCCGCCGCCCGCUCCCGCAGCCGUCCUUCGGCUCCGCACCGUCCUGUCCACGCGGCGAGCAGGGACAGCCCGACAGCGAAGGUCAGCAUCGGCAGAGUUAAUGCAAAACUCCUUCCGCUGUCCACACGAUUUUUCUCCUGAAAACUCGUCAAACUUUUAAUUUAGCUCUUGAAGGCUUAGGGAAAGUCAGUCCUCCGAUCAACAGUGCCACAGCUUCAGCCGCUGCUGGCAAGGAUACACACACUGUCCACAUUAACUCCAAAUUCAGGUUCUGAACUCCACACAAUAAUGUACAGUAACUAGUAAUGAAAAAUUAAGCUUCUGAGGAUCUGAUUAUCUUUCAUUUUUACACAGUGGAGUACAAGCGGACCAAGCAGAUUAAGAUUCUGUUACAGUCAGCUGCUGGAUAAACACAAGGGUCUUUACCACCUAUUUUUCUUCUUACAAGUACUCCAUACUCACAAGUAUGCAGCUAUCAGAGCUAUGGUGUCACCACCCAAAAUAAAUUCAGUCAACAAGCUGAGCUUUCCUGUGGCACAGUUCUGCAUAUUAAAGCAUCCCUCUGCCAAACCUUCAGCCAGCUGACUGCUGCUGGAAAUGGUGGGGUCCCUGUUAACCAGAAAUAAUUCCUUUGACAUAACUCUCAAGAUUUGGAAUGACAGCAUGUUCAAAGUUUAAUGAUACCAUUAUAAGUGAUUUGUUUCAACUAUAUUUAAAUAGGCAGCCAUUCAGCUCUUCUUACAUACAUGCAACUCCUCUUGCAGUGAAGGGGUUGCCGGCUUGUCCACUAAAUCCAGCCAAAACCAAGAAAUCUGCAGCAGACCAGCAUGGGACCUCAGUUUAAAUGCAAAUUUAUUCUUACAGCUGUGUCCAACAUGAAACAUACCAACAAAUGUCAGCUCACCCUGCAAGGUAUUUUACAAUGUUUCAGAAUUAAAUUCCACAUAUUUGAACACAUUCAUGGAGUGGUGUUCCCCAGGAAAUUAAGCUAGAAUUGUUCUCUGGAGUGCUCCAUUCCCUGGCUGUGCACCCUCCUGACUAUUCAGAGAUCCCAGUGUGGCGGAAGCAGGAAUGGCCCCAAUUUAUUCAGGUUUCUAUCUUAAUCACAGAAUCUUCUGCCUGAGGCCUUGGAAGAAGAUGGGGAGUGUGAAAACAGACCCAGAAUUCUCAAAGAUUACUUACAUGCCGUGGAUAUUUCAGCACCAAAGGACAGAAGAGGGGUGUUAGAGAAAUGCAAGUCAGAGUGCAUGAGAAAGCCAAAAUUGUACUGAUUUUGCAUGUGGAGAUUAUUUCAGAAGAAUCUCUGAAUCUCUAGCUGAUCAUUUCUGCAGACAUCUUAUCUAAACCACAUUUAGCACAAAAGAAGACAGAGGACCCAGAUUUCUAUGAAUUCCAAUUACCCUGGCUCAACUCCUCCAAGAAAUCAAGCAUCUGAUCCAUUUUCAGAACCACACUCCACAGAGCUGUGUUUGUGGCCUAUGAGACAAUCAUUUUACUCUUAGAGCAUUAUAAACCUUCAUAAACAAAUCAAACUGUUGCACUGAGGAAGAGUACAAAGCUCUGACUAACAAGCAGCACUUGACAGACACUCAGUUAUGCUUACAUUACAUUACAGAUGAGACUACAGCCUCAGCAAUCCAAACUUUUCACAGCAGCUCCUCCAGAAAUCCCAUAUGAUUCCGGAGUAUUGUUUAAUGUCUUGGAAAAAUGAGGAAUACUGGUUUACUUGAGGUGUGCCUUAGUCCUGCACAUAACACUCCUAAAUCUAUGAAUUAGACUGUUAUUUUUGGGAAAUCCUAGAAGGACUGACAUAUAUCCAUAUUCUGAGAUGGUGUCUUAUUUUUUCUGCUUAUCAUCUCCAUGUAUCAGAAUCUGUCCAUAUUUGAGGCAUGGAACUCCACUCCCUUUCACUUGAUUUCAGUCAGACAUGCAUGAAGUUUGCUCCAUUCUAUUCAUACAGAGAUUUAUGACAAACAGGGUUCUCUUCCUUUUCAUGCUCUAUCCAGCCAAAAAGGUGUUAUCCAUAUAGGUGUCAAAAUGUAUGCAAAUCACAUUUUAAAAUCGGCUUCUAACAGCGUAAUAAAAGACAAGGUACCCUCUGCUUUCUUAGGAAAACAAAAUCUUUUCAGAAAGUGUUUCUUUAAUGUCUAGCCCAGAAUUUCUUGUUUCUUGGUUAGACCCCCUAGGGGUUCCUAAAGACCAGUUUGUCUUAUUAAAGAUGAACUAUCAUAACAACAAAAUUAAGAACAAGUUCUGUUUCCAUUUUGAGUUGGACACAGUUUUCUUGCUGUAAACCUUCAAACCUAAUCUAGGCAAGUUGAAGUACCAAGAAGUGAUUCCACUGUCUUUCCAAAAUAGCUAGAGUUAAUAUUGUGCAAUCAUGUAAAAGCCAGUCUUUUUUCUCAGUUGCUUAUAAAUGACUUCAAACACUUGGGCACCUCACCAGAGCCAUGGGUUCAGCAGUACCACUGCAGAUGGCUCAGGUACACAUCAUGCUUAGGUACUUCCAGGAUAACCAAUGAAACUAACCCAACAAGGAACAUACAUCCCUCCUUCUACACUUAAACCUGAAUUCAGCAAAUGAGCUCAUGGGCACAAUAUAUCUUCAGUACUUUUGUCAUACAACUUUUUCUACUGCUCUAUGUCUCUAAAAGUUUUUGAGUAUUUUAAAACAACAUUUACUAACAUAAUUUACUGAUAAUAUUUACUAAUUUAAUAAUUCUAAAUGAUACACAAAGAGUUAAUGAAUUCACAAGUAAAAUAUACAAAAAUAGUAUUUCUUAAAGGAGCAGUGCUGCUGUACCUUGAAGUGGUUUCUGAAGUUUAUUACUUUUGUCCUCAUAUAGUGCUUCCUUAAGGUGUUACAGGGCCUCAAAUGUAUCCUUUAACUACCUAUAGCAAACAAGAACAAAUCUGUUGCUUGAUGCAUGCAAUGCUGCUCACGCCUUCAUAAGCACCCUAACAUUAUACUUCUUAGCUGUGAAAUUCCACAAUCACAGGUACUACUUGGUAUCUCUUACUGACUUAAUUCAACUGAUAAUAAAGGGUUUAUUUCAAUUAGUCUCACAUUAGAAUCAGUGAUUUAGAUUUAAAUUAAAUUCACAUAAUUUUCACGUCCUGUGGGUAUGCAUGUUUUGACAGUACUGCAAAAACGUGCUGCAAGUUGCAUAGAAGUUGAUUGAAACCGUCAAACCAGUAUUUAAUUGCUUGCUGACAUGUAUCUCAAAAAUAGUCCAGAGUGUAUUUAUCUGAACAUACAAAAGCACAUGCAGAAAACACAUUUUAAUGCCAUCUCCAUGCAUUGAAGACAUACAGGUUUUAUUGUCAGAUUUUUAAUUCCUGAAUCAAACAUAGGUUUUUGCCUGUCAUUUGCUGUAUGACUACAUGCAUCACCUCAGACUGAGAAUUCUUUUUUCCAUAUAAUGCAUAGUAUAAUCCAAAA